AAAGAAACCAACAGGGAUUGCCUUAGUAGCGGCGAGUGAAGCGGCAAAAGCUCAAAUUUGAAAUCUGGCGCCUUCGGUGUCCGAGUUGUAAUUUGAAGAUUGUAACCUUGGGGUUGGCUCUUGUCUAUGUUUCUUGGAACAGGACGUCACAGAGGGUGAGAAUCCCGUGCGAUGAGAUGCCCAAUUCUAUGUAAGGUGCUUUCGAAGAGUCGAGUUGUUUGGGAAUGCAGCUCUAAGUGGGUGGUAAAUUCCAUCUAAAGCUAAAUAUUGGCGAGAGACCGAUAGCGAACAAGUACAGUGAUGGAAAGAUGAAAAGAACUUUGAAAAGAGAGUGAAAAAGUACGUGAAAUUGUUGAAAGGGAAGGGUUUGAGAUCAGACUCGAUAUUUUGUGAGCCUUGCCUUCGUGGCGGGGUGACCCGCAGCUUAUCGGGCCAGCAUCGGUUUGGGCGGUAGGAUAAUGGCGUAGGAAU
rnacentral:rRNA from 1 species